GACGUAGGAUCCGAGCGUUAUCCGAAUUCACUGGGCGUAAAGCGCGUGCAGGCGGCUCUGUAAGUUGGAUGUAAAAUCUCCCGGCUCAACUGGGAGGGGACGUUCAAUACUGCGGGGCUUGAGGACGGUAGAGGGAGGUGGAAUUCCCGGUGUAGUGGUGAAAUGCGUAGAUAUCGGGAGGAACACCAGUGGCGAAGGCGGCCUCCUGGACCGUACCUGACGCUCAGACGCGAAAGCUAGGGGAGCGAACGGG
rnacentral:rRNA from 1 species